CUAUGACGGGAUCCGGCCUGAGAGGGUGAACGGACACACUGGAACUGAGACACGGUCCAGACUCCUACGGGAGGCAGCAGUAGGGAAUAUUGCUCAAUGGGGGAAACCCUGAAGCAGCAACGCCGCGUGGAGGAUGAAGGUUUUAGGAUUGUAAACUCCUUUUGUUAGAGAAGAUAAUGACGGUAUCUAACGAAUAAGCACCGGCUAACUCCGUGCCAGCAGCCGCGGUAAUACGGAGGGUGCAAGCGUUACUCGGAAUCACUGGGCGUAAAGAGCGCGUAGGCGGGAUAGUCAGUCAGGUGUGAAAUCCUAUGGCUUAACCAUAGAACUGCAUUUGGAAACUGCUAUUCUAGAGUGUGGGAGAG
rnacentral:rRNA from 1 species